rnacentral:lncRNA from 1 species
ACAGCAAAGAAAACGGGGGUGAAGGAAGGAGCCCCCCCCCCGCCCGCCCCGCGCCGGCCUCACUUCCUCAGGGGCGCCGGGCCGUCACCUGCCGUCCCCUCGCACUCGCCGUGGGCGGCAGCCGCGGGCCGUGGCCGCCCGGCGCCCGGGAUUCGGAGUUGGCUGACUCUUCCUGCCGCCUGCAGCCGCGCCGGCUUUGUGCGGACCGCGAGGGAGGAGUCGCGCGACCGUGUUAGAAGUAGCGUCCAGCCAGCGUUGUGCUGGGUCGCGUAGUAGGUGUUCAGUUAGUUUGUGCCUAGAAUUUGUUGGCCAUGCCCACGACAGGAAUUUUUUUUUAAAUUUUUUUGUUAUGUGAAAAUUAUCUCUUCAGCACCCUCCAGAAUUUUAGAAGAUUUCAUGAAUCACUUCUUUAAACCUUGCAGCAGAAAUACCCUUAGAGCCAAAGCCUGGUGGCUUAGAAUGAGAAAGUUUAAUCCUGAAUACAGAUGAGAACUUUCUCUCCCACGUAAAUGCGUUAUUUCUUGGUGCGUGCACACGGACUGUAAGUAAUUCCCUGCUAUGCAUUAUAUCUGUGUAGCUAGGUAGAGCCAUCAAUGUCAAAGCCGGAGCCCUUAUCCUUACGGUUUUAGGGACAGGCAGUCCUCACUGUCCUCGACACCAUGUCAGCUGGAAGUGUCCCCUCUGCGCCUGGAUCAGUGAUAACCACCCCCCCACACACGCCCCUCUUUAAGACCUAUGUAGUGUUCUAACGUUGCCUUCCGAAUCAUGUCACAGACUCCUUUUGCCAAUAUUUGCCCACUCCCCUCCCCCAACUUUUUUUUUUUUACAUUCACCUUGAUUCCUAGCCAGAAAAUCAAAAGAUAUUUUAUAACUAGCACAUGCUUUACCGACCCUUAAAUUUCUUACACGUGCCGUUUUCUCUUUCUGGCCUGUGCCUCCCCAAGCAAAUUUCUUUCUGUGGUCAUCUUCACCUUGAAAUCAUGGACAAAGUGAGGAGACAAACUGAGUAGAAGUCAUUGUCUUUUUUACUUUAGUGAUUACUGGUUUAGUUAGUUUGGGCCAGACUUUAUUUAACUGCACGGUACCUGUCCAAAGUUUUCAGUAAGUUUUUUUCUUGUUUACUUCUAUGUCCUUAGCACCUAGUAGAGUACCUUGCCACGUGGUAGAUGCCUUAUAGUUCAUAAAUUUCUGUUCUG